UUAUAUACUAAAGAGAAAGCGAUUAUCCUUAGGAGAAAUCGAUUAUUCUGCAUCAAUCUUUAUAAUUCCCGCUGCCUUUAGGGCGAUACCUGCAAAAAUUCGUUAGACGUCUCCGACGCUCAAGUUAGAAAUCAUGUGAAAGGGAAAAUGCAAUGCAUGACUUAGAUCAACGUGGAGUCAAGAAUCCCAAGUUCACUACGAAUUC
rnacentral:lncRNA from 1 species